GAUGAACGCUAGCGGCAGGCUUAACACAUGCAAGUCGAGGGGUAUAGUUCUUCGGAACUAGAGACCGGCGCACGGGUGCGUAACGCGUAUGCAAUCUACCUUUCACAGAGGGAUAGCCCAGAGAAAUUUGGAUUAAUACCUCAUAGUAUAAUGAGUUGGCAUCAACACAUUAUUAAAGUCACAACGGUGAAAGAUGAGCAUGCGUCCCAUUAGCUAGUUGGUAAGGUAACGGCUUACCAAGGCAACGAUGGGUAGGGGUCCUGAGAGGGAGAUCCCCCACACUGGUACUGAGACACGGACCAGACUCCUACGGGAGGCAGCAGUGAGGAAUAUUGGACAAUGGGCGCAAGCCUGAUCCAGCCAUGCCGCGUGCAGGAUGACGGUCCUAUGGAUUGUAAACUGCUUUUGUACAGGAAGAAACACUGGUUCGUGAACCAGCUUGACGGUACUGUAAGAAUAAGGAUCGGCUAACUCCGUG
rnacentral:rRNA from 1 species